rnacentral:rRNA from 1 species
AUUGAACGCUGGCGGAAUGCUUUACACAUGCAAGUCGAACGGUAGAGGGGGCAACCCCUUGAGAGUGGCGAACGGGUGAGUAAUAUAUCGGAACGUGCCCAGUCGUGGGGAUAACGUAGCGAAAGUUACGCUAAUACCGCAUACGAUCUAAGGAUGAAAGCGGGGGAUCGCAAGACCUCGCGCGAUUGGAGCGGCCGAUAUCAGAUUAGGUAGUUGGUGAGGUAAAGGCUCACCAAGCCGACGAUCUGUAGCUGGUCUGAGAGGACGACCAGCCACACCUGGGACUGAGACACGGCCCAGACUCCUACGGGAGGCAGCAGUGGGGAAUUUUGGACAAUGGGGCGCAAGCCUGAUCCAGCAAUGCCGCGUGCAGGAUGAAGGCCUUC